AUCAGCUGCUUAAAUUUGCUGGAUCAUUGUGAUCAGCCCCUGACAUUGUUAAAAGAUAUCAGGAGUGUCUUGGAGCCCACCCAAGGCAGGGUCAUCCUUUCCUUGGUUUUGCCCUUUCAUCCCUAUGUGGAAAACAUGGGUGGCAACUGGGA